rnacentral:rRNA from 1 species
AGUGAACGCUGGCGGUAGGCCUAACACAUGCAAGUCGGACGGCAGCACAGUAAGAGCUUGCUCUUACGGGUGGCGAGUGGCGGACGGGUGAGGAAUACAUCGGAAUCUACUUUUUCGUGGGGGAUAACGUAGGGAAACUUACGCUAAUACCGCAUACGACCUACGGGUGAAAGCAGGGGAUCUUCGGACCUUGCGCGAUUGAAUGAGCCGAUGUCGGAUUAGCUAGUUGGCGGGGUAAAGGCCCACCAAGGCGACGAUCCGUAGCUGGUCUGAGAGGAUGAUCAGCCACACUGGAACUGAGACACGGUCCAGACUCCUACGGGAGGCAGCAGUGGGGAAUAUUGGACAAUGGGCGCAAGCCUGAUCCAGCCAUACCGCGUGGGUGAAGAAGGCCUUCGGGUUGUAAAGCCCUUUUGUUGGGAAAGAAAAUCAGCAGGUUAAUACCCCGCUGUUCUGACGGUACCCAAAGAAUAAGCACCGGCUAACUUCGUG